rnacentral:rRNA from 1 species
GUGCCAGCAGCCGCGGUAAUACGGAGGGGGCUAGCGUUGUUCGGAAUUACUGGGCGUAAAGCGCACGUAGGCGGAUCAGAAAGUUGGGGGUGAAAUCCCGGGGCUCAACCUCGGAACUGCCUUCAAAACUAUUGGUCUUGAGUUCGAGAGAGGUGAGUGGAAUUCCGAGUGUAGAGGUGAAAUUCGUAGAUAUUCGGAGGAACACCAGUGGCGAAGGCGGCUCACUGGCUCGAUACUGACGCUGAGGUGCGAAAGCGUGGGGAGCA